AACUGUUGCAGGGCGAUAGGGUUAUUCUAGAGGGAAAGAAGAGGACGAGAGGAUAUUACUAUCUGAUGGGGAGCCUAGUGCGAGGUAGAGCUUCUAGAGCCAGGAGGAGACUAGAGUAAGGUAGAGCUCCAGAUGGAAGUGGAUCGGGCACUAGACGGAAGACUCAGAAGGAUGAGAGACGAUGUUGCAAAGUGAAGUUUCUAUUACUGCAGGAGACUUCUCCGAGCAGGUCUUUGAUCAGAGUGGACAAAGUUCAUAACGGAGGUUGGAUAAAGCAACCUGGCUUGGCUCCCACAUUUAUCCAUCCAUGAGAUAGCAGGCAUGCCCUAGGGUAUAGGGGCGAGAUAGAUCACAGGCUCUCAGAUAGGUGGAGGCUGAAUAUCAAGUCGAGAUGGAGAUUGUUGAGAUUUUAUGCCUCAAGAUUCAAUCCAUAUUGAGUCC
rnacentral:lncRNA from 1 species